CUUUAUGGGCGCCGACAAAUUUUUAUAAAUGACGACUUGUCGAAGACAGGAGCCUUAGUUCAGACACGAAUCCCGGCGUCAGUUUUCGUCAAAACGAAUUUAGCUACAAAAAAUCUCGACUUUCAAACUCAUCUCGGAAUCAUUCCGGGAAUCUUGUAAGAAUGAUGAUGAAGUUAAUUAUCGCCGCUCUAGCUGUAGCGCUGCUUAUGUCCACAGCGGAGGCCUUAUGUCGAAUCGAACAUGAGCACCAUUGCGGCAGCAUCGACGGCCAGUAUCACUUCGAGGCCUGCACCUAUGGUUGUGGUUUCACGGGACUUUACAUGGACUGGUGUUUCAACUUUGUUCACCACCCCGACCCAUCCCUGGACAAGUGCCUGGAUCACUGUUCGGAUAUAGAGGAUUGUAAACUCGCGCCAUUGCCAAUGUCAUGUCCAGCAGGGUGGACGACUUGUUAGGAACAUAUACAUUGUUCAGGAAAGUCCUAUAUUCCCGGGACAUGUAUCCGAAAGGAAAUAAAAAUUGUGAUUUA